rnacentral:tRNA from 1 species
GGUGGUGGUGGCCCGGAUGAUGGGCAUGCUGCUGGGCGUGGCGGCCCUGUCGGCGUGGGGCUUCCACCGGUUCCAGUCGCUCACCGCCC